CGGCGAGGGGAGUGAAAAAGAACCUGAAACCGUGUACGUACAAGCAGUAGGAGCCCCAUCACUCAAGUGCCUCGCACUGAGUGAUGCAAGAACAUCACCGAAAAUAGCGCCGAAUUUGCUAACAAGGUUGGUCGAUUUUUUCAAGCCGUCGCGCAGUGUACCUAGAAGUACACGAGCAACGGAAGUUAAAAAUUCGGGCAAGAUUGAACGCAAAGGCAAGCGGGACAUUUGAGGAUGGGGUGACUGCGUACCUUUUGUAUAAUGGGUCAGCGACUUAUAUUCUGUAGCA
rnacentral:rRNA from 1 species